rnacentral:lncRNA from 1 species
AAAACUUCAAAUUAAAUCUCCAAUUUAAACUCGGCAAAAUUAAGAUGAGCUAAAGCUCUCCAAGCCAAGACCAACAAUAAUAACAUCCAAAUUUGAUGAAGUACAACAUGAACAUAUCCAAAGAGUGGUCGAAGACACUCGAACCACUAUUAAUUUACGAGUAGAAUAGGAUUAUGAAAUCAAGCUGAAAAAGCAUAAGAAUUGUCCACAAACCUACAAAAAUAUCAUUUACAAACCAUGAGGAUGCUCAUAUCUUUCACGUCUUUCACUAUCAUCGAAGAACUAAAGAACACGAUAUCAUUCUGAUAUUUCUAAAUCAACCAAAUCACAUGGUGCCAAAUCAACAAAAAGCCCCCUAAUUCUAGACGAUCCAAUAAGCGAAAUAACUACUCUACGUAGAAGGAUGAACUACCUCCACAUAAGUGAUCUGACGGUCUGAGAAAACCUCACAAGUCGGAAGGCAAGAAUAUGCGAUUGUUAUAGAAUAAGACACGUUUUUAAAAUGACACCACCUGCAUCCAUCUCUUUCAGAAAGUAAAGUUUUUUAUCACCGACAAAAAACCACCAAUAAAAACUUGCUCGUAAUCGAAGAGAAACUCCCUCCUCCACU